rnacentral:tRNA from 1 species
AGAUAGAAUAAAAAAUCAAAUUUGUAUUCUAUAAAUAAGAUAGAAUAAAAAAUCAAAUUUGUAUUCUAUAAAUA